UGAGUAGGACAGGCAGCCGCGUGCCUGAGCCGAAAGGCUGCGCACGAGGAAAGUCCGGGCUCCACACGGCAAAGGCGCCGGGUAAUUCCCGGUGAAGGCGACUUCAAGGAAAGUGCAACAGAGAUAUACCGCCCCGGCGGCGCAGCUGCGCCGGGGUAAGGGUGGAAAAGCGAGGCAAGAGCUCACUGGCGGCCUGGCAACUGGCCGUUCCUGCAAACCCCGCCUGGAGCAACACCGCGGAGGGACGCUAAGGCUGCCCGCCUGUCCCGAGGAGGUGGCUAAAGCGGCGCGGAAACACGCCGCGUAGAUAGAUGGCUGCCAAAUACAGAACCCGGCUUAUAGUCCUGCUCAUCGC
rnacentral:RNase_P_RNA from 1 species